rnacentral:rRNA from 1 species
GACGAGGGGUCCUAGCGUUGUUCGGAAUCAUUGGGCGUAAAGCGUAUGUAGGCGGCCAAAUAAGUCAGGUGUGAAAUCCCUGGGCUCAACCCAGGAAGUGCACUUGAUACUGCUUGGCUUGAAUACGGGAGAGGAUAGUGGAAUUCCUGGUGUAGUGGUGAAAUACGUAGAUAUCAGGAGGAACACCGGUGGCGAAGGCGGCUAUCUGGCCCAAUAUUGACGCUGAGAUACGAAAGCGUGGGGAUCAAACAGG